AUUGAACGCUGGCGGCAGGCCUAACACAUGCAAGUCGAGCGAGCGGCGGACGGGUGAGUAAUGUCUGGGAAACUGCCUGAUGGCGGGGGAUAACUACUGGAAACGGUAGCUAAUACCGCAUCCCAUCAGAUGUGCCCAGAUGGGAUUGGCUAUGUGGUGGGGUAACGGCUCACCAAGGCGACGAUCCCUAGCUGGGCUUAGAGGAUGACCAGCCACACGGGAACUGGGGAACGGUCCAGACUCCUACGGGAGGCAGCAGUGGGGAAUAUUGCACAAUGGGCGCAAGCCUGAUGGAGCCAUGCCGCGUGUAUGAAGAAGGCCUUCGGGUUUUAAAGUACUUUCAGCGGGGAGGCGUUACCCGCAGAAGAAGCACCGGCUAACUCCGUGCCAGCAGCCGCGGUAAUAC
rnacentral:rRNA from 1 species